rnacentral:lncRNA from 1 species
CCCAUUGACUAGAGCAAUAGGAUCUAAUGAGUUCGAUGAUCUCAAAUGAAAAAUAGAUAUUUGAUACCGAUUUGAUUGACUUUAGUCCAAAUAGAAGUUGUUGAAAAAUAUAUCCUAAAAUCAAUCAUCUAGGUUGUAGAUGAUUGUGCUUCAUUCAUGUAUAUGAAUUAUAAAAUGAUAAAUGUUAUCUGAUAGAUUCAUUGUAAGA